UGAAAGGUGUGGAGAUAAAGC
rnacentral:piRNA from 1 species